rfam:Heterocephalus glaber contig263603, whole genome shotgun sequence.
UGGCCUCCUAAGCCAGGGAUUGUGGGUUCGAGUCCCAUCUGGGGUG